rnacentral:rRNA from 1 species
CCUACGGGAGGCAGCAGUGGGGAAUAUUGGACAAUGGGGGGAACCCUGAUCCAGCCAUGCCGCGUGUGUGAAGAAGGCCCUCGGGUUGUAAAGCACUUUCAGUGAGGAAGAACGCCUGGUGGUUAAUACCCAUCAGGAAAGACAUCACUCACAGAAGAAGCACCGGCUAACUCCGUGCCAGCAGCCGCGGUAAUACGGAGGGUGCGAGCGUUAAUCGGAAUUACUGGGCGUAAAGCGCGCGUAGGUGGCUUGAUAAGCCGGUUGUGAAAGCCCCGGGCUCAACCUGGGAACGGCAUCCGGAACUGUCAAGCUAGAGUGCAGGAGAGGAAGGUAGAAUUCCCGGUGUAGCGGGGAAAUGCGUAGAGAUCGGGAGGAAUACCAGUGGCGAAGGCGGCCUUCUGGACUGACACUGACACUGAGGUGCGAAAGCGUGGGUAGCAAACAGGAUUAGAUACCCCUGUAGUC